GUCUCUGUGGCGCAAUGGGUUAGCGCGUUCGGUUGUUAACCGAAAGGUUGAUGGUUCGAAUCCAUCCAGGGACG
rnacentral:tRNA from 1 species